CGGUGCCCCGACCGGUCGACCUGUGUGUGUGUUUGUUCUCCUCUCUCUCGCUCUGCUUUUUCUCCGGCUCCGCUGCGAUUGUCACGCGGUCGCGUAGCAACGGAAGACCUCAGACCCGGAAGUGCUGCCGCUCUGAGCUGCCUCACCUGCGACCGAUUUGUCGCCAGCUACUGCCAAUUAUCCACCAUCGUUGGCAGGGCUGUUUAACGGUGUGGCUGAGUGACAGACAGCGCUGGAGUAUUGCACCAAGCCUGGAAGCGAACGAGACAGAAGGGGAGACUUCACUGAUUCUCUGGAGUUUUGUGGACACACGAGGGGAGACGGGGAGAGGAGCACUGAAGGGACUUGCACUGUGGAUAACUGUGGAUUGGUUUUGGCUUCACUGUAAAUAAAGACACUGUUCAACUUAAACGAGAGGUCGGGUUUCUGAAUCCAGUGAAGGUACGUCCACUGAGGAUCUGCGCCUCACGCUCCGCAUAAGAGAGGUGGAGACCCGAAACAGGCAGCUGGAGGUGCAGGCUAUGCAUCUCCGUAUCAGGGCUCUUGAGCUUGAAAAGGGCUCAGCUGGUGUUUCCCCGACGUCAUCAAGCACAAGUGCUUCUUCUUCUGCCAGCUUUGACAUAAUGUGCAGGUGCUCCUCCGUGGUUGGUGCAUCCAGGGUGGAUGGCUCGCACCGAUUGGCUGACGACCGGGAGGCAGCGGAUGAGAAGAGACCACCAGGGACUGCCAUUCAUUCAUCCUCGGCCCAACCCAACC